rnacentral:hammerhead_ribozyme from 1 species
AUCCAUCUGACGAGUCCUGAAUGAGACGAAACACGUGUUCUAGAU